GUGUGUGUGUGUGUGUGUUUUCUAUUCAGUGAAGUUGCUGAGGUUUUGAAUGUUUUGUUUCUAUAUAUUCUUUUCAAAUAAAGUGCAUUUUACAAACAUAUGCAUACCAUCUUUACUGCUGAAAUGUCAAAAUUAGCUUAAUUAUCAUCUAAUAUUUUAGAUUUUCUACUUUCUUUUGGUUCCCCUUGGAAGAAGAUUUUCCUCCAUCCUGUCAAACGGUCACAUUGUUUAAUAGAUAUUUUUUGUCACUUUAUCUGCUUUCUGAAUUAUUAUGUUUAAUUGAAGCAUGUAAUUGACAUUUCUUGAGCUGGAAUUUCCUCUAUUAGCUUGUGUACUAUGGUGCUGGAAGGGGACAAUUUUCUGUUGUCUCAUGUGUGCUGUAUAUAUAGGAUAGGACAAGAGGGUGCUCUUGUCUCAUCCUUUCCCACUUUUCUUGUCUAUUCCUUGAAGGGGCAAACUUGUUCCACACUCCAUGGGACAAAAUUCUCUUCCACAAGUACCCUUUAUUCCAAA
rnacentral:misc_RNA from 1 species